rnacentral:rRNA from 1 species
GACAGAGGCCUCAAGCGUUAGGCGGAAUCACUGGGCUUAAAGCGUGUGUAGGCGGAUCGUUAAGUACCUUGUGAAAUCCCACGGCUCACCCGUGGAACUGCUGGGUAUACUGGCGGUCUUGGGCCAACUAGGGGCAGGUGGAACAAGCGGUGGAGCGGUGAAAUGCGUAGAUAUCGCUUGGAACGCCGAAGGUGAAAACAGGCUGCUGGGGUUGUGCCGACGCUGAGACACGAAAGCCAGGGGAGCAAACGGG